GUGGACGCUGGCGGUAGGCCUAAACCAUGCCAGUCGGACGGCAGCACAGUAAGAGCUUGCUCUUACGGGUGGCGAGUGGCGGACGGGUGAGGAAGACAUCGGAAUCUACUUUUUCGUGGGGGAUAAAGGAGGGAAACUUACGCUAAUACCGCAUACGACCUACGGGUGAAAGCAGGGGAUCUUCGGACCUUGCGCGAUUGAAUGGGCCGAUGUCGGAUUAGGUAGUUGGAGGGGUAAAGGCCCACCAAGGCGACGAUCCGUAGCUGGUCUGGGAGGAUGAUCAGCCACACUGGAACUGAGACACGGUCCAGACUCCUACGGGAGGCAGCAGUGGGGAAUAUUGGACAAUGGGCGCAAGCCUGAUCCAGCCAUACCGCGUGGGUGAAGAAGGCCUUCGGGUUGUAAAGCCCUUUUGUUGGGAAAGAAAAGCAGCAGGUUAAUACCCCGCUGUUCUGACGGUACCCAAAGAAUAAGCACCGGCUAACUUCGUG
rnacentral:rRNA from 1 species